GAUGAAGAACGUAGUAAAAUGCGAUAAGUAAUGUGAAUUGCAGAAUUCAGUGAAUCAUCGAAUCUUUGAACGCACAUUGCGCCCGCCAGUAUUCUGGCGGGCAUGCCUGUUCGAGCGUCAUUUCAACCCUCAAGCACAGCUUGGUGUUGGGACUCGCGUUAAUUCGCGUUCCUCAAAUUGAUUGGCGGUCACGUCGAGCUUCCAUAGCGUAGUAGUAAAACCCUCGUUACUGGUAAUCGUCGCGGCCACGCCGUUAAACCUCAACUUCUGAAUGUUGACCUCGGAUCAGGUAGGAAUACCCGCUGAACUUAAGCAUAUCAAUAAGCGGAGGA
rnacentral:misc_RNA from 1 species